GACGAACGCUGGCGGCGCGCUUAACACAUGCAAGUCGAACGGAAAGGCCUGCUUUCCCUUGUGGAUUGCGGGUACUCGAGUGGCGAACGGGUGAGUAACACGUGAGUGAUCUGCCCCCAACUUGGGUAUAAGCCUGGGAAACUGGGUCUAAUUCCCGAUAGGACUGCAGGGUGGUUCCGGUGGUGGAAAACGAUUUUCUAGUGGUUGGGGAUGAGCUCGCGGCCUAUCAGCUUGUUGGUGGGGUAAUGGCCUACCAAGGCGGCGACGGGUAGCCGGCCUGAGAGGGUGGACGGCCACAUUGGGACUGAGAUACGGCCCAGACUCCUACGGGAGGAAGCAGUGGGGAAUAUUGCACAAUGGGCGGAAGCCUGAUGCAGCGACGCCGCGUGGGGGAUGACGGCCUUCGGGUUGUAAACUCCUUUCGACAGCGAGGAAGCCACCUGGUUGGAAGGGUGGUGACGGUAGUGGUAGAAGAAGCACCGGCUAACUACGUG
rnacentral:rRNA from 1 species